rnacentral:rRNA from 1 species
GAUGAACGCUGGCGGCGUGCUUAACACAUGCAAGUCGAGCGAGAAAAGUUCUUCGGAGCUUUUCUAGCGGCGGACGGGUGAGUAACACGUGGGCAACCUGCCUCAUAGAGGGGAAUAGCCUUCCGAAAGGAAGAUUAAUACCGCAUAACAUUGUUGAAAGGCAUCUUUUAACAAUCAAAGGAGCAAUCCGCUAUGAGAUGGGCCCGCGGCGCAUUAGCUAGUUGGUGAGGUAACGGCUCACCAAGGCGACGAUGCGUAGCCGACCUGAGAGGGUGAUCGGCCACAUUGGAACUGAGACACGGUCCAGACUCCUACGGGAGGCAGCAGUGGGGAAUAUUGCACAAUGGGGGAAACCCUGACGCAGCAACGCCGCGUGAGUGAUGAAGGUCUUCGGAUUGUAAAGCUCUGUCUUUAGGGACGAUAAUGACGGUACCUAAGGAGGAAGCCACGGCUAACUACGUGCCAGCCGCCGCGGUAA